UGUAUCGCGUGGUGACAUUUUCAAGGAAUUAGUUGAUGACUUGGCCAUGCAAGUGGCUGCAUACCCUCAAGUGCAGUAUCUUGUUCCAGAAGAUGUGCCAGCGGAGAUCAUCAACAAGGAAAGAGAAAUCGAAAUGCAGAAGGAAGACCUAUUAUCAAAACCUGAGCAGAUCAGAUCCAAGAUCGUUGAUGGGCGGAUAAAUAAGAGGCUUGAAGAUCUGGCAUUACUGGAGCAGCCUUACAUCAAGAAUGAUAAGAUGAUCGUAAAGGACUUGAUCAAGCAGACAAUUUCAACGAUUGGUGAAAACAUCAAAGUGAAGAGAUUUGUGAGAUACAACCUGGGAGAAGGUCUUGAAAAGAAGAGCCAAGACUUUGCUGCAGAGGUGGCUGCUCAAACAGCAGCUAAACCUGUCUCCUCGCCAGGAAAAGAGCAACCAGCUGUUGAAGCCAAGGAGACUACUGUUGAGUAAGUUUCUAAUUUCUUGAUAAUUACUUCCUACCAAUAUAUUGUGUUUCUUCAAACGCUGAACAACCAGAAAUGUGGCAGCAGGGCAUUCCAUGACAUGUCAAAUAUAUAGUUUUUAUUACUUUAAUUUUCAAUUUGUUUAUUGUUGUUACUCAACUUCUCAUUAUUAAAUGAUAGUUUUAGUUUUCUGCCAUCUUUAGACUCAAAAACUGCUUAUACAAUCUUCUAAACCUAAGUACACGAUUCACUGCAUUUAUUUUCAAAUAAAAUCUGGUUCCAACAUCAUUACGGAAGAGCUAAUCUGAAAUAACUAUCAGAAGACUCUGUCUUUCUCAUCUUACUGUGCUACUCCAUGCCAAUAUUUUAUCCUAAACUGUUUCCAACCCCAAAACUCGUAUAUUGUUUUAUUUCUCACUGUUAAUUUCUGUUUAUGGAUUCUAAUGCAGGCCUCCGAAAGCAGCAGUUUCAGCCACUUUGGUUAAACAGCUGCGAGAAGAAACUGGCGCUGGGAUGAUGGAUUGCAAGAAAGCCCUCUCUGAAACUGGAGGGGAUCUUGAGAAGGCACAGGAAUACCUCCGAAAGAAGGGUCUUUCAACUGCCGAUAAAAAGUCUAGCCGACUUGCUGCUGAGGGGAGAAUUGGUUCGUACAUUCAUGACUCUCGCAUUGGAGUGCUAAUUGAAGUUAAUUGUGAAACCGACUUUGUCGGGAGAGGUGAAACAUUUAAGGAGUUGGUCGAUGAUUUGGCAAUGCAAGUUGCAGCCUGCCCACAGGUGCAAUAUGUAUCUAUCGAUGAGAUUCCAGAAAGCGCUGUAAACAAGGAAAAAGAGUUGGAAAUGCAGAGAGAAGACCUUAAGAACAAGCCUGAAAAUAUAAGGGAGAAGAUUGUUGAGGGCAGGGUCUCCAAGAGACUUGGAGAGCUUGUUCUUUUGGAGCAGCCUUUCAUAAAAGAUGAUAGUGUUCUUGUGAAGGAUUUGGUAAAGCAAACUGUUGCUGCUCUUGGGGAGAACAUAAAAGUUAGGAGGUUUGUUCGAUUUACUCUAGGUGAGGAAGCC
rnacentral:lncRNA from 1 species